rnacentral:tRNA from 1 species
AAAUCUUAAUAAAGACUUAAAUUGCAAAUUUAAGAAAGAUAAAUUAAUUCAUCACCAAUAC